rnacentral:rRNA from 1 species
GAUGGCUUUAGCUAUCACUCUGGGAUGGACCUGCGGUGCAUUAGCUAGUUGGUAAGGUAACGGCUUACCAAGGCGAUGAUGCAUAGCCGAGUUGAGAGACUGAUCGGCCACAAUGGAACUGAGACACGGUCCAUACUCCUACGGGAGGCAGCAGUAGGGAAUCUUCCACAAUGGGCGCAAGCCUGAUGGAGCAACACCGCGUGAGUGAAGAAGGGUUUCGGCUCGUAAAGCUCUGUUGUUGGAGAAGAACGUGCGUGAGAGUAACUGUUCGCGCAGUGACGGUAUCCAACCAGAAAGUCACGGCUAACUACGUGCCAGCAGCCGCGGUAAUACGUAGGUGGCAAGCGUUAUCCGGAUUUAUUGGGCGUAAAGCGAGCGCAGGCGGUUGCUUAGGUCUGAUGUGAAAGCCUUCGGCUUAACCGAAGAAGUGCAUCGGAAACCGGGCAACUUGAGUGCAGAAGAGGACAGUGGAACUCCAUGUGUAGCGGUGGAAUGCGUAGAUAUAUGGAAGAACACCGGUGGCGAAGGCGGCUGUCUGGUCUGCAACUGACGCUGAGGCUCGAAAGCAUGGGUAGCGAACAGGAUUAGAUACCCUGGUAGUCCAUGCCGUAAACGAUGAGUGCUAGGUGUUGGAGGGUUUCCGCCCUUCAGUGCCGG